GGACAUGAAGGCGAUCUGGCUGUGACGUCUGUCACCCCAUUGAUCGCCAGAGUUGAUCCGGCUGGUCUGGCUGGCUAGGCGGAUGUCGCCUCCUCCCUCACCACUCCAUGUGCAUCCCUCCCGAAGGUGCGCACUCGGUUGAAGAGGACGACCUUCCCCGAAUAGAGGAGGACUGGCCUUUGGUCAAUGGUAUACAAGCAGCUGUGCUUGCCUGCUAGAACCUCCAAACAAACUCUCAAGGUCUAUUUGUAGGAGAACAUAGGGUAGUCAAGCUUCCAAGACUCAGGACACAUCCAAAUGAGGCACUGCAUGUGGCAGGCUGCCUUUGUUU
rnacentral:snRNA from 1 species